GAGAAGUAUGAUUAGUCGAUGUUGAAAUUUGAACGAUACAGAGAAGAUCAGCAUGGUCAUUGCUAAAGGAUGGCACGAACAAAUCAAAAGAAACAUAUCAUUAGU